rnacentral:pre_miRNA from 1 species
UUUUUAGUAUAAGUAUAUUUCAUGCAAUAUUUAGAACAUACUUACACUAAAG